GUCCACGCCGUAAACGAUGGAUACUUGGUGUUGGUGGUAUUGACCCCAUCAGUGCCGAAGCAAACGCGUUAAGUAUCCCGCCUGGGAAGUACGGCCGCAAGGUUAAAACUCAAAGAAAUUGACGGGGGCCCGCACAAGCGGUGGAGCAUGUGGUUCAAUUCGAUGCAACGCGCAGAACCUUACCUAGACUUGACAUGGACUGGAAGGGUGGCAGAAAUGUCCCCGCCCGCAAGGGCCGGUUCACAGGUGCUGCAUGGCUGUCGU
rnacentral:rRNA from 1 species